rnacentral:tRNA from 1 species
UGCGCCCGUAGCUCAAUUGGAUAGAGCACGACACUACGGAUGUCGGGGUUGCAGGUUCAACUCCUGCCGGGCGCGA